AGCGUACACGGUGGAUGCCCUGGCAGUCAGAGGCGAUGAAGGACGUGCUAAUCUGCGAUAAGCGUCGGUAAGGUGAUAUGAACCGUUAUAACCGGCGAUUUCCGAAUGGGGAAACCCAGUGUGAUUCGUCACACUAUCAUUAACUGAAUCCAUAGGUUAAUGAGGCGAACCGGGGGAACUGAAACAUCUAAGUACCCCGAGGAAAAGAAAUCAACCGAGAUUCCCCCAGUAGCGGCGAGCGAACGGGGAGCAGCCCAGAGCCUGAAUCAGUGUGUGUGUUAGUGGAAGCGUCUGGAAAGGCGCGCGAUACAGGGUGACAGCCCCGUACACAAAAAUGCACAUGCUGUGAGCUCGAUGAGUAGGGCGGGACACGUGGUAUCCUGUCUGAAUAUGGGGGGACCAUCCUCCAAGGCUAAAUACUCCUGACUGACCGAUAGUGAACCAGUACCGUGAGGGAAAGGCGAAAAGAACCCCGGCGAGGGGAGUGAAAAAGAACCUGAAACCGUGUACGUACAAGCAGUGGGAGCCUCUUUAUGGGGUGACUGCGUACCUUUUGUAUAAUGGGUCAGCGACUUAUAUUCUGUAGCAAGGUUAACCGAAUAGGGGAGCCGAAGGGAAACCGAGUCUUAACUGGGCGUUAAGUUGCAGGGUAUAGACCCGAAACCCGGUGAUCUAGCCAUGGGCAGGUUGAAGGUUGGGUAACACUAACUGGAGGACCGAACCGACUAAUGUUGAAAAAUUAGCGGAUGACUUGUGGCUGGGGGUGAAAGGCCAAUCAAACCGGGAGAUAGCUGGUUCUCCCCGAAAGCUAUUUAGGUAGCGCCUCGUGAAUUCAUCUCCGGGGGUAGAGCACUGUUUCGGCAAGGGGGUCAUCCCGACUUACCAACCCGAUGCAAACUGCGAAUACCGGAGAAUGUUAUCACGGGAGACACACGGCGGGUGCUAACGUCCGUCGUGAAGAGGGAAACAACCCAGACCGCCAGCUAAGGUCCCAAAGUCAUGGUUAAGUGGGAAACGAUGUGGGAAGGCCCAGACAGCCAGGAUGUUGGCUUAGAAGCAGCCAUCAUUUAAAGAAAGCGUAAUAGCUCACUGGUCGAGUCGGCCUGCGCGGAAGAUGUAACGGGGCUAAACCAUGCACCGAAGCUGCGGCAGCGACACUAUGUGUUGUUGGGUAGGGGAGCGUUCUGUAAGCCUGCGAAGGUGUACUGUGAGGUAUGCUGGAGGUAUCAGAAGUGCGAAUGCUGACAUAAGUAACGAUAAAGCGGGUGAAAAGCCCGCUCGCCGGAAGACCAAGGGUUCCUGUCCAACGUUAAUCGGGGCAGGGUGAGUCGACCCCUAAGGCGAGGCCGAAAGGCGUAGUCGAUGGGAAACAGGUUAAUAUUCCUGUACUUGGUGUUACUGCGAAGGGGGGACGGAGAAGGCUAUGUUGGCCGGGCGACGGUUGUCCCGGUUUAAGCGUGUAGGCUGGUUUUCCAGGCAAAUCCGGAAAAUCAAGGCUGAGGCGUGAUGACGAGGCACUACGGUGCUGAAGCAACAAAUGCCCUGCUUCCAGGAAAAGCCUCUAAGCAUCAGGUAACAUCAAAUCGUACCCCAAACCGACACAGGUGGUCAGGUAGAGAAUACCAAGGCGCUUGAGAGAACUCGGGUGAAGGAACUAGGCAAAAUGGUGCCGUAACUUCGGGAGAAGGCACGCUGAUAUGUAGGUGAAGUCCCUCGCGGAUGGAGCUGAAAUCAGUCGAAGAUACCAGCUGGCUGCAACUGUUUAUUAAAAACACAGCACUGUGCAAACACGAAAGUGGACGUAUACGGUGUGACGCCUGCCCGGUGCCGGAAGGUUAAUUGAUGGGGUUAGCGGUAACGCGAAGCUCUUGAUCGAAGCCCCGGUAAACGGCGGCCGUAACUAUAACGGUCCUAAGGUAGCGAAAUUCCUUGUCGGGUAAGUUCCGACCUGCACGAAUGGCGUAAUGAUGGCCAGGCUGUCUCCACCCGAGACUCAGUGAAAUUGAACUCGCUGUGAAGAUGCAGUGUACCCGCGGCAAGACGGAAAGACCCCGUGAACCUUUACUAUAGCUUGACACUGAACAUUGAGCCUUGAUGUGUAGGAUAGGUGGGAGGCUUUGAAGUGUGGACGCCAGUCUGCAUGGAGCCGACCUUGAAAUACCACCCUUUAAUGUUUGAUGUUCUAACGUUGGCCCCUAAUCGGGGUUGCGGACAGUGUCUGGUGGGUAGUUUGACUGGGGCGGUCUCCUCCUAAAGAGUAACGGAGGAGCACGAAGGUUGGCUAAUCCUGGUCGGACAUCAGGAGGUUAGUGCAAUGGCAUAAGCCAGCUUGACUGCGAGCGUGACGGCGCGAGCAGGUGCGAAAGCAGGUCAUAGUGAUCCGGUGGUUCUGAAUGGAAGGGCCAUCGCUCAACGGAUAAAAGGUACUCCGGGGAUAACAGGCUGAUACCGCCCAAGAGUUCAUAUCGACGGCGGUGUUUGGCACCUCGAUGUCGGCUCAUCACAUCCUGGGGCUGAAGUAGGUCCCAAGGGUAUGGCUGUUCGCCAUUUAAAGUGGUACGCGAGCUGGGUUUAGAACGUCGUGAGACAGUUCGGUCCCUAUCUGCCGUGGGCGCUGGAGAACUGAGGGGGGCUGCUCCUAGUACGAGAGGACCGGAGUGGACGCAUCACUGGUGUUCGGGUUGUCAUGCCAAUGGCACUGCCCGGUAGCUAAAUGCGGAAGAGAUAAGUGCUGAAAGCAUCUAAGCACGAAACUUGCCCCGAGAUGAGUUCU
rnacentral:rRNA from 1 species